rnacentral:rRNA from 1 species
AACGGACGCUGGCGGCAUGCCUAACACAUGCCAGUCGAACGAGACCUUCGGGUCUAGUGGCGCACGGGUGCGUAACGCGUGGGAAUCUGCCCUUCGGUUGGGAAUAACUGAGAGAAAUUUCAGCUAAUACCUUAUAAUGUCUUCGGACCAAAGAUUUAUCGCCGAGGGAUGAGCCCGCGUAGGAUUAGGUAGUUGGUGGGGUAAUGGCCUACCAAGCCGACGAUCCUUAGCUGGUCUGAGAGGAUGAUCAGCCACACUGGGACUGAGACACGGCCCAGACUCCUACGGGAGGCAGCAGUGGGGAAUAUUGGACAAUGGGCGAAAGCCUGAUCCAGCAAUGCCGCGUGAGUGAUGAAGGCCUUAGGGUUGUAAAGCUCUUUUACCCGGGAUGAUAAUGACAGUACCGGGAGAAUAAGCUCCGGCUAACUCCGUG